rnacentral:rRNA from 1 species
AGAGCGAACGCUGGCGGCAUGCUUAACACAUGCAAGUCGCACGGGCACUUCGGUGUCAGUGGCGGACGGGUGAGUAACGCGUAGGUAUCUAUCCUUGGGUGGGGGACAACUGUGGGAAACUACAGCUAAUACCGCAUGAUAACUGAGGUUUAAAGGCGCAAGUCGCCUGAGGAGGAGCCUGCGUACGAUUAGCUAGUUGGUGGGGUAAAGGCCUACCAAGGCGACGAUCGUUAGCUGGUCUGAGAGGAUGAUCAGCCACAUUGGGACUGAGACACGGCCCAAACUCCUACGGGAGGCAGCAGUGGGGAAUAUUGGACAAUGGGCGCAAGCCUGAUCCAGCAAUGCCGCGUGUGUGAAGAAGGUCUUCGGAUUGUAAAGCCCUUUCGACGGGGACGAUGAUGACGGUACCCGUAGAAGAAGCCCGGCUAACUUCGUGCCAGCAGCCGC